GGGGUCCCUGUGGAACAGCAGCAAGGUUGGUGGGCUGUUGUCCUACAUCACCCUCCCUGCAGCCCCUGCCCCUCUCUGGUGCCGGCACUCACC
rnacentral:miRNA from 1 species